rnacentral:rRNA from 1 species
GAACGAAGCACUUGAUUUGAUUUUCUUCGGAACUGAAGAUUAAGUGACUGAGUGGCGGACGGGUGAGUAACGCGUGGGCGACCUGCCCUGUACAGGGGGAUAACAGUUAGAAAUGACUGCUAAUACCGCAUAAGACCACAGUGCUGCAUGGCACAGUGGUAAAAACUCCGGUGGUACAGGAUGGGCCCGCGUCUGAUUAGCUAGUUGGUGAGGUAACGGCUGCACCAAGGCGACGAUCAGUAGCCGGCUUGAGAGAGUGAACGGCCACAUUGGGACUGAGACACGGCCCAAACUCCUACGGGAGGCAGCAGUGGGGAAUAUUGCACAAUGGGGGAAACCCUGAUGCAGCGACGCCGCGUGAGUGAAGAAGUAUUUCGGUAUGUAAAGCUCUAUCAGCAGGGAAGAAAAUGACGGUACCUGACUAAGAAGCCCCGGCUAACUACGUGCCAGCAGCCGCGGUAAUACGUAGGGGGCAAGCGUUAUCCGGAAUUACUGGGUGUAAAGGGUGCGUAGGUGGUAUGGCAAGUCAGAAGUGAAAACCCGGGGCUUAACUCCGGGACUGCUUUUGAAACUGUCAAACUGGAGUGCAGGAGAGGUAAGCGGAAUUCCUAGUGUAGCGGUGAAAUGCGUAGAUAUUAGGAGGAACAUCAGUGGCGAAGGC